rnacentral:lncRNA from 1 species
ACUUUCAGAGCUCUUUUCCUCUCUGAUUUAUCUUGAAGAUGAAGACUUAUCCAUGAUCAGAUUCCAAUCCAGAUGUGUGACUUCAAGAAUUCAGUGAUGUGCACCUUUAAAAUGCGAUUUAACCCAUGACCAAAGCAGCUGAACAGUGGCAAAGGCCCAGUUGCUAAUAUCUGGAGAACAAUGAUGGGAGCUGCACCUGUGUCUGAUGACGGAGUCUUCCCCUUUUGGGACCAACAGUUGGGAUGAGGCUGCUAGAUCCAACCUAAAUCGGGAACCGAGACUAGAGGUUUACCCUUGGCUGUGUCACUUCGUAGGUCUCUCCUUUGAAGAAUCCUUUCUUCCAAGGAAUCUCAAGUACUUGCAAGGAGAUUGGAUGCUGCCCCAGCUCUGGUUCCAGCAGGAAUAAAUGGCAGUGCUUGGCAGCCACGGUGCAAACCUUAGCGAUGUCUCACGGAUGUGAACACAAAGCCGCACAUGUUACAAACAAAGAACAUGCAUCCAGGAAAUUACAUGAUGUAUCUGAAACCACCCACCCUUCAUGGGGCAAGCAGAUUAUUGUCUCAUCCCAGCCACUAAGUCCAGGCUUCAGGGAGAUGGGAGAUAGAAGCACAUCUCUCAAGUAUCUGUCUGCGGCUUUCUGUCCACAAAGGUCAAAGCUCUUUAAGGAAAAGCCAGUCUUCAACUGAUUUCACACACCGUUAUGGAAUUCCAGGUAGUACAUUUAUUUUAACCUAUAUAUUAAAAAGCUGAAAUCUUCAAAAUAUUAAAUGUGGAGUUACCAUAGGAUGUAGUACUUCUACUCCUGGGAGUAUAAACAAGUGGAAUAAAAACAUGUGUCCACACA